AAUAGUGACGAGUUUGACUAAUCUAUCUAGUUAGCCCCCUGGGUUCUUAACUAACCCUACCUUAGAAUUCUUCCUGUUAACUAACCCGGCCUGGAGAGUCAACUUCUUGUGCUAACUCUCACAAGAAAUCAAACUGCUGUCUGACCUUUUCCUAUCAACUCCCAGCACUCCACUCUCUCCCUGUGAACCCAGUUUUUUAAACCCUACACACCAGCUCUCUCAGACUUUUCCACUUCCCUCUUCUUUUUCUUUUUGUUUUUCCUCUUCUUUUCCUCUCCCGGCCCCUCCCCACUCCUCUGGCCAAUCCUAGGAGUCUCCUAACUCCUCCCCUUUUCCAACCUUCCUCACUCAAGAUGGCUGCCUCCCUGGCAUUCUCUCCCAACAUGGAGGCCUGCCAUACAGUUAUCCAGGCUCCCUUUCCGGCCUACUAGACCUUACCAGAAUUUUUCAAAGAAGACCUAUCCUGAAGACUUGCACGGCAGGAUUGCCAGUACAGAAGCAAUACAUCCCAUCUGGUUUAAGAAAAGCUUUAAGAAAGAAAAACAGCUCCUAAUGAGAAAAAAAUACCAUGUUUCAUCAAUGGGUGGCAUGUUCUUUUUGGCUGGGUAACCAAAGAGAGGUAAGGUAAUCAUAGUCUUAGGUCUCUUUCAUACUACACUAGUUAUAGUAUGAAACUUUAAUACCACUUUGACUGCCAUGGAUUCAUCUUAUAAAAUCCUGGGAUUUAUAAUUUAUAAUUCCAAGACUGGAGGCUCCUCUGGUGUUUGUGAACAACUAGAAAGUCCGAGAUUCCUAUGGCUGCAACAGUUGAA